rnacentral:rRNA from 1 species
AAAUUGAAGAGUUUGAUCAUGGCUCAGAUUGAACGCUGGCGGCAGGCCUAACACAUGCAAGUCGAACGGUAACAGGAAGCGCUUGCUGCUUCGCUGACGAGUGGCGGACGGGUGAGUAAUGUCUGGGAAACUGCCUGAUGGAGGGGGAUAACUACUGGAAACGGUAGCUAAUACCGCAUAACGUCGCAAGACCAAAGAGGGGGACCUUCGGGCCUCUUGCCAUCGGAUGUGCCCAGAUGGGAUUAGCUUGUUGGUGGGGUAACGGCUCACCAAGGCGACGAUCCCUAGCUGGU